GCACCAGGGCUCUGUUUUCUAGCUGUGUUGGUCUGAGACAAAAAGAAAUGCAGAACUCUAAAAUGCUUGGUUCAGAGUUGAUACCUUUUAGUAGAC